rnacentral:rRNA from 1 species
ACGGGUGAGUAACGCGUGAGUAACCUGCCUUUCAGAGGGGGACAACGUUCUGAAAAGAACGCUAAUACCGCAUAACAUCAAUUUAUCGCAUGAUAGGUUGAUCAAAGGAGCAAUCCGCUGGAAGAUGGACUCGCGUCCGAUUAGCCAGUUGGCGGGGUAACGGCCCACCAAAGCGACGAUCGGUAGCCGGACUGAGAGGUUGAACGGCCACAUUGGGACUGAGACACGGCCCAGACUCCUACGGGAGGCAGCAUG